ACAGAGGUCGGCAGGAUGUAGUUGAAUGCUUAUAAUCAAUCAAAAAAUAUUUGCUCAGCACCUACUAUGAGGAAGGCACCUUGGAGGAAUUCAGGGCAAUAUAAGACAACCUUCCUUGCAAUCAGAAGGUUACAGUCUAGGUGAGGCUGCAUUCAAGAAAAUAAAACAAAUAAUUUCAGGUUUACCUGUCAAAUGAGUUCGAUGAUUUCUAAAAUCCUUCUAACUCUAAUGUUCUAUGUUCUAAAUUCUCUUUCUGCUCUGAUAUUCUGUUCUUACACCCUGUUUUCUAAUGCCCCUCCCAGCUAUGGACACCCUUUAUCCUAAUGUCCUUUCUAACUUUGAUAUUUUAUGCUCUAAUAUUCUGUAUUAGAAGAUUCCUCCCAAUUAUGACAUGUACACUUGAUUCUUCUUUGUUCUAAGGUCUCUCCAAGCUCCUAAUAUUCUUUAUUUAGUGACAUAUCCAAGCUCUGACACAUAUGUUCUAAGAAUACUUCUAGCUCUGACAUUCUAUUUUCUAAUGCCCUUUCAAGCUCUAUUAUUCUGUAUUCUGUCCACCAUGGUGCAAAAGCAUAAUUGGGAAUUUUUGUGCCCAGGUCAAGUACCAUAAACAAGGCAAGAAACAUAAAAUUAUGGGCAAGACAGAAGGGCAAGACAGCAUCCUGUCAGGAAGAAUCUCACAGGCCAUUGGCCCCAGUCAUCUAAGAAUACCACAAGCCUAUUGUAGAGGAGGCCGACAGAUCACUUCAAAAGACCCCGCUGCCCCAGAAGGAAAUCUCAGUAGGAUCUUCUUCCAUCCAGCUGUUGACUACUAAUGGUGUCUUCACCAAUCCAAUGAUGGUGAUUUAAAAUGUCAAGAGUCUUUUAAGGGUUCUAGUGACUUCAGAAUCCAGAGGAUCGAUCAGCGCUGGAGGGAGAGGCGGUAUUUCACCAUCCACUGCCUAUGGACACUCACUUCCUCGACCAUUAAGUUGGCUCCCAUUGACACAGCAGUCAGCAACUCUGAAGGCCGCAGGCUACUCACUUGCUGAUGAUGUUCAUGCUGGUGUGUCUGCCCUACUAACUCCAAUGAUGAAUAAUUUAGCAUUGAUAUACAGCAAUGAUGUAACACGUUGGAGGAGCCCAAAAGAACAUUAAUAAGUAAUACCAAAGUGACUGGUAUACUUUGGAUGCCCAAAGAGUAAUGCAGUAGAAAGAACAAUAGACCAAGAGGGAGAGGAUCGAGAUUCAAGACCCUGGAUUCCCAGUCCAUUUCCAUGUAAAUAUAUUAUCUUGGGUAAGUCUCUUAAUUCCUCUGAGACUCAAGUUUCCUCCUCAACCAAUAAAAUGAGUGAAUCUAAAAAGUUGCCAAGAUCUAUUCUAGCUCUGAUUUUAUGAUCUGUGCCCUUAUCAUCAUUACUUUGUUUUUUUCAAUACCAUUGACAUAAUCAAUAAAUUACUCAAGAAAUAUUUAUCAGGUGCCUACUCUGGGCCAGACUCUCUGCUAAGCAAUGAAUAUACAACUUCAACUAAAGAAAUACAAAUGCAGUGGUAGUAUUCCCCAUUCACUCUCCACCCCAGGAGCUAUUUUUUCCAACUCAGAAGGCAUUUUUGCGGAAGCCUGGGAUCCUUAGGGGGUUUGUUGAUUUCUACUCACCCUGUGUUGUAAAGGAAGCUUUUAAUAUUUUAGGACCUGAGCUCCAGUAGGAGUCCUAUUGUUAAAAAAGUAUUUACUCAGAAGAUAUAAGAUCAAGAGGCAGCUAGAUGGUGUAGUAGAUAGAGUGCCAACCCUUAAGUCAGAAAGACUCAUCCUCUUGAGUUCAAAUCUGGCCUCAGAUACUUACUUGCUGUGUGCUCCGGGGGCAAGUCACUUAAGAACAUGACAAAUCAUUCCAGUAUCCACCAAUAAAAUUCCAAAUGAAAAAUAGGAAGAAUCCAACAACUGAAAAAAUGACCCAGUGGCAAGUAGUAAGAUCAGUUGGUACAAAAUAUCCCUUCCAAGCUAUGUGUGUACACACACAUGUAUGUACUUGAACACACCAGAUCUUGGGGAAAGUGGAUCCAUAUUGAGUAAAAUGGUAGUGAGACAUAUAUACAAUGAUGUGCAAUGUAUGUGGAAAGAGAGUCCCUCUUAGUUGCUGGUUGUUGGAAGUUCCUUCACAGAACCCUCAGGAAGUUCCUCUUAAGAAUAGUGGUUAUACUUCUCAGGGGCACAUUCAUUGGUCUAUGUUUGUCCUAAGUGGAUCUUUGUCACUUCCAGCUGGAUGAUUGGUCUCCCACUGUAGUCUCUCCCAUACUAUAGUCAACGGAGGGAGGAGAGAGAAACUCCUUUCUUCUCAAGAUCAAUCCUUUCUCCAGGGCCUAACUAAAAUCUUCUAUAACUUAAUUGGUCCACUGACUCACUGUUGAAAUUCCUCCCACUAUUUAAAGCCCUUCAGAGUUAUUGUUAGCUUGUUUGGUUACCCUGCCAGGCUUUUUCUUCCUCAAUCCAGUCAAAGAAUUUUUACCUCAUAUCAAGAAGACAAGACAUAAAUUCAUUCAAAUGUUGACAUAUAUAAAGCUUUAUCAUGUGAAACCACCCUUACAUUUAAUACCUUGUGAUCUGCGUUAAUGCAAGGUGAGAGAGAGAUCCUUCUCUUAUACAAAUAUGAAAUUGAAAUAUAAAAGUGAGAUAAAUAUAAAAAUGGGGACCCUGUCUUUGAGGAGAUCACAUUUGUGCAAUUGCAUAUUCUAAUUCCAUUCAACUUUUUUCCUUUUGUGUUGUCAGUUUAUGCUAUAGUCAGAACAGUGACUGCUUGUGGGCAACUACCAUGCCCAGAACAAUUCUUCGCAAAUCGUAGGUGUUUAAUAACAACUUCCUGAAUGGAAUAGAUUAGAACUAAGUAGUGCCAUGUGUAUUGUCAUGGGAAAAAUGCUUGACUGGGAAUCAGAUGAUCUGAGUUUAAAUCCUGAAUUUGUCACUCAUUAUGCAUGACCCUGCAGACAUCAUUAAACUUCUAUAUGCCUAAAGUUAAUCCUCUUUAAAAUAUCUUCCUGCUUGUUAUCCUAUGAACCCAAAAUUCCUCCUCAGUAUUCCUGAAAUUCUUUCCUUCUUUUUCAAAUCCAAUCCAAUUUAAUGAAUACAAUCUAAUUAUUAAGUGUCUACUAUUUUUAAGAUACUGUGCUAGGGAUCAGAGAUACAAAGGAAGAAUGGAAAAAAGAAAUAGUCCCUGCUUAUUUGGAAUUUCUAUUCCAAUGGUUGGGAAAAUACACUCAUAUGAUACGUGGUAAGGAUAUGAACUUGUGAAAGAAAGACUUACUACAAAAGAUGGAACCUGAACAAUGGAUGAGAUUCUGAGACAGUGGUAAGGAGGAAGUAAAUUCCAGGCAACGAUUUUAUAAGACUGCCUGAAAUUCUACCAUCAAAGAUUCAUUUGAGAUCAUAGAAAGUUCUCUUUAUAGAGAUACAUUAACGACUUAGAACAUCUUGAAAGGGUCCUGGCUUUAGGAUCAAAGGAUCUUAUUUUAGGUCCUGCCUCAUUUUCUAACUUCUUGUGUAAUCCUGAGAAAAUCAUUUUUCCUUUCUCAACCUUAGUUUUCUUAUGUGAAAAAUAGAGCUUAUGGGUGAGCCCCUAUCUCACUGGGUGGUUCUGAGGUUGAAUGAGAUGAUUCAUGUAAAGUGCUUUGCAAACCUUAAAAUGCCCUAUAAAUAAAUUCUAGCUUCUAACUUCUAGUAUAAUUCUGUAUAAAUCAGAACCUCCCUGGGACUCAGUUUUCAUCUUCAUAAAGUGAAUUGGAUUAGAUGGUCUGUGAGGUCCCUUUCAGCUCUGGAGCAAUGAUGCUAAAUUAAUAAAAUAUGAACAAUACUGUAUAUUUGUGUAGCACUUUAUAGCUUUCAAAUCACAUUUGUACGUAGUAGGUAAUACAUAGCUGUUGAAUGAAUGCAUUUUCAUUAUUUUAUUUAAUUCUCAUAAUAACUAUGAGAUAGACAGGAAAGAAUUAUCUUCCUUCUUUAACUAAGUCUAUUCAAACUCAGUGGAGAACUCAGUGGAGUUCCCUCUUCUUCUUUCUUCUAUACAUCAAACCUUUCUUCAUCAUCUUCCAAACUUUAUUUGCUCCAAUCACUGAUGUCUAUCUAGAUAGUUCUCCUCCUUGAGACUAACUCACUUUUGAUCCCACCCCCUCCUGUCUUGCCCCGUUAGUCAUCCUCUUCUCUAUAAUCUUCUAUCUUUUCUUGUUUUCUGAUUCAGACCCUGCUAGUUAUACACAUGUCCAUUUCUCUCUAUUCCUAAAAACCCCUCUAUUUGACCCUAGGCUCCCUCUACGACUUUCUUCCAAUAUAAAAAUCUAGCAAUUGUCUCUAUAUUAUUUUCCUUUUAUAGUUAAAUUACUGGAAAAAGCUUAUUAUCUCUACUUUCUUCUUUUUAAAAUGUUUCAUUUUUGCUUUUUUCAAGUAACAAGCAAUAAUUUUCUCUCUUCCACCUUCCAUAAAAGAACCCAGAUUCUUGAAACAAGCAUUGAGAUCCAAGCAAAACAAGUUCCCAAAUAGCUCCUCCAAAAAUGUCUAUUACCUUUCUGUUAGCAUGUUCCAUUAGAUCUCUGGAAUCAUGAUUAGUAAUUAUAUUGCUCAGAGCUCUUGAACCUUUCAAAGUUGUCUGUCUUUAUAAUAGUGUUAUUAUGGUAAAAAUUUUUCUGGUUCUGCUCAUUUUGCUCUGCUUCAGUUUUUACAAGCCUUCCCAAAUUUCUCUGAAACCAACUCUUUCAUUAUUCUUUAAGGCACAAUAAUAUUCUAUUAAAUAUUUACAUCAUAAUUUGUUCAGUCAUUCCCCAAUUAAUGAGUAUUCCUUUAAAUUUCCAAUUUUUCCUACCAUGAAAGAAAAAAAAAAGAACAGCUGGAAAUAUUUUAGUAGAAGGUAUAUGGGACCUUUUAAUCUUUCUUUGAUCUCUUUGGGGUUUAAGACUAGUAGUGAUAUCAAAGAGUAUGCACAAUUUAGUGAAUUCCCCUCCCCCAUUUUCUUAUCUCCCAUUCCUUUAUCAACUCCUUGAAAUCUGGCUUCCUAUACUACCACUUAAUAGAAGGUUAUCAGUAAUUGUUUACUGUCUAAAAUUGAUGGGUCUUCUGUUAGAUCUCAGACCUCAU
ensembl:lncRNA